CGUCCAGGGGGCCGCCUUCGCCACCGGUAUUCCUCCAGAUCUCUACGCAUUUCACCGCUACACCUGGAAUUCUACCCCCCUCUACGAGACUCAAGCUUGCCAGUAUCAGAUGCAGUUCCCAGGUUGAGCCCGGGGAUUUCACAUCUGACUUAACAAACCGCCUGCGUGCGCUUUACGCCCAGUAAUUCCGAUUAACGCUUGCACCCUCCGUAUUACCGCGGCUGCUGGCACGGAGUUAGCCGGUGCUUCUUCUGCGGGUAACGUCAAUGAGCAAAGGUAUUAACUUUACUCCCUUCCUCCCCGCUGAAAGUACUUUACAACCCGAAGGCCUUCUUCAUACACGCGGCAUGGCUGCAUCAGGCUUGCGCCCAUUGUGCAAUAUUCCCCACUGCUGCCUCCCGUAGGAGUCUGGACCGUGUCUCAGUUCCAGUGUGGCUGGUCAUCCUCUCAGACCAGCUAGGGAUCGUCGCCUUGGUGAGCCGUUACCCCACCUACUAGCUAAUCCCAUCUGGGCACAUCCGAUGGCAAGAGGCCCGAAGGUCCCCCUCUUUGGUCUUGCGACGUUAUGCGGUAUUAGCUACCGUUUCCAGUAGUUAUCCCCCUCCAUCAGGCAGUUUCCCAGACAUUACUCACCCGUCCGCCACUCGUCAGCGAANNANCAAGCUNCUUCCUGUUACCGUUCGACUUGCAUGUGUUAGG
rnacentral:rRNA from 1 species